rnacentral:rRNA from 1 species
CAUAUCAAUAAGCGGAGGAAAAGAAACCAACUGGGAUUGCCUUAGUAACGGCGAGUGAAGCGGCAAUAGCUCAAAUUUGAAAGCUGGCCCCUUUGGGGUCCGCGUUGUAAUUUGUAGAGGAUGAUUCGGCGAGGGCUCCCGUCUAAGUCCCCUGGAACGGGGCGUCAUAGAGGGUGAGAAUCCCGUAUGUGAUGGGUUGCCUUAGCCAUGUGAAUCUCCUUCGACGAGUCGAGUUGUUUGGGAAUGCAGCUCUAAAUGGGAGGUAAAUUUCUUCUAAAGCUAAAUACCGGCCAGAGACCGAUAGCGCACAAGUAGAGUGAUCGAAAGAUGAAAAGCACUUUGGAAAGAGAGUUAAAAAGUACGUGAAAUUGUUGAAAGGGAAGCGCUUGCAGCCAGACUUGUCCGCAGUUGCUCAGCCGGUCUCCUGACCGGCGUACUCUUCUGCGGCCAGGCCAGCAUCAGUUCGGGCGGUCGGAUAAAGACCCCAGGAAUGUAGCUCCUCUCGGGGAGUGUUAUAGCCUGGGGUGGAAUGCGGCCAGCCUGGACUGAGGAUCUCGCUUCGGCUAGGAUGCUGGCGUAAUGGCUGUAAGCGGCCCGUCUUGAAACACGGACCAAGGAGUCUAACAUCUAUGCGAGUGUUUGGGUGUCAAACCCAUACGCGUAAUGAAAGUGAACGGAGGUGGGAACCCUCACGGGUGCACCAUCGACCGAUCCUGAUGUCUUCGGAUGGAUUUGAGUAAGAGCAUAGCUGUUGGGACCCGAAAGAUGGUGAACUAUGCCUGAAUAGGGUGAAGCCAGAGGAAACUCUGGUGGAGGCUCGCAGCGGUUCUGACGUGCAAAUCGAUCGUCAAAUUUGGGUAUAGGGGCGAAAGACUAAUCGAAC